rnacentral:rRNA from 1 species
AGUGAACGCUGGCGGUAGGCCUAACACAUGCAAGUCGAACGGCAGCACAGUAAGAGCUUGCUCUUACGGGUGGCGAGUGGCGGACGGGUGAGGCAUACAUCGGAAUCUUCUUUUUCGUGGGGGAUAACGUGGGGCAACUUAUGCUAAUACCGCAUACGUCCUACGGGUGAAAGCAGUGGAUCUUCGCACCUUGCGCGACUGAAUGAGCCGAUGUCGUAUUAGCUAGUUGGCGGGGUAACGGCCCACCAAGGCGACGAUCCGUAGCUGGUCUGAGAGGAUGAUCAGCCACACUGGAACUGAGACACGGUCCAGACUCCUACGGGAGGCAGCAGUGGGGAAUAUUGGACAAUGGGCGAAAGCCUGAUCCAGCCAUACCGCGUGGGUGAAGAAGGCCUUCGGGUUGUAAAGCCCUUUUGUUAGGAAAGAAAAGAAGCAGGUUAAUACCCCGCUGUUCUGACGGUACCCAAAGAAUAAGCACCGGCUAACUUCGUG